UUCAAKUGCCUCGCCGGUUAUGACCAUUUAACAGUGAUGUGUUUAUAUAUAUAUUAGAGACAUUAUAUGGCGGUUGCGGGUUUAUUCUCGUAGCUGUUUCUGUAUAGYGCUCCMCUGUUUUAUGAUAUAUAGUUUAUAGCCGGAGGCGUGCACUUCUCCCCUUGWAGGACGUCGKGACCCAUUGGAUUAUGUUGYCUAASGCUUAUAAUGSAGACCGUGGCMUGGAAUCRAAAGAUUUUAUGACCCGGACUUGYAAUGUCCCGACAUCUAUCCGAUGGUAUAAUUAUGAUGAUAGAUCGCUAUAAAUGCRUAUGAGCGUUCAGAUCCAUAACAAAUUCUUUAUAUGAUAUUAAUAGUGGAAAUCGGAUUUAAUGCCGAUUCUACACAUAUGGUAUUGAUAGUUAUGGUAUUCUCGAACCGUUCUUUAUCAUCAGUCAACGGCGUUUAUGUUUUGGGUAAUUACAGGACCCGUCUUGAAACACGGACCAAGGAGUCUAGCAUGUGCGCAAGUCAUUGGGACUUUGUGAAACCUAAAGGCGUAAWGAAAGYGAAAUAUUUGUGAAUUUUCGUAAUUCMCUGAAUUUAAGGGAAGAUGGGUAACGUUUUUUAUGUUACCUCGCAUUCCCGGGGCGUCGCGUACUUAUUGCAAGKUGSGGCGCACCAAGAGCGUACACGCUGGGACCCGAAAGAUGGUGAACUAUGCCUGGUCAGGAUGAAGUCAGGGGAAACCCUGAUGGAGGUCCGUAGCGAUUCUGACGUGC
rnacentral:rRNA from 1 species